AUUGAACGCUGGCGGCAGGCCUAACACAUGCAAGUCGAAUGGUAACAGGAAACAGCUUGCUGUUUCGCUGACGAGUGGCGGACGGGUGAGUAAUGUCUGGGAAACUGCCUGAUGGAGGGGGAUAACUACUGGAAACGGUAGCUAAUACCGCAUAACGUCGCAAGACCAAAGAGGGGGACCUUCGGGCCUCUUGCCAUCAGAUGUGCCCAGAUGGGAUUAGCUAGUAGGUGGGGUAACGGCUCACCUAGGCGACGAUCCCUAGCUGGUCUGAGAGGAUGACCGGCCACACUGGAACUGAGAUACGGUCCAGACUCCUACGGGAGGCAGCAGUGGGGAAUAUUGCACAAUGGGCGCAAGCCUGAUGCAGCCAUGCCGCGUGUAUGAAGAAGGCCUUCGGGUUGUAAAGUACUUUCAGCGGGGAGGAAGGGAGUAAAGUUAAUACCUUUGCUCAUUGACGUUACCCGCAGAAGAAGCACCGGCUAACUCCGUG
rnacentral:rRNA from 1 species